CGAAGUAUUAGAUGAAAAAUUUGAAAAGUCCCGUCUGUCCUUGGAAUGUAAUCUCUUAUGAAGCAGCCUGGAAAAAUGCUAAAGAGCAAAAGAGUACGUUUUAUUCUGAGUUCUUUUGAGGCUGAAGCCGACAUUUGAACUAUCUCCAAGAUUGUGAUCUCUGCAGAGAUAUUUAUUGCACCUUGAUGAAGAUGAAUGGUGUGACAAUAAAUAAGACACUUCUCUCUCCUGCCUGGGUCUGCCCUUGAGACACAAGAACGUGUGGCACACAGCACCGUGGGAGCAUCAGGGAUCCGCAUCAUGCCCAGAGCUGACAGAGUGCCCUGAGUAAUGGCGGCAACCUUCCAAAACACACCAGUGGGGCCUCCAUCUAUAGCCGUACCAGACAACAAUGACCCCUAACUCCACAAUACAUCUUGUUCAUCAUUCCUUAUAUGACCAAACAGAAUGGGAUUGGAAAUGCUGGUCAAAAGUAAUGAGGCACCUGGGAAACAGAAAGAAAGCUUGUCCUUCACAGCCCUGUCCACUGAAGUGGUUUCAGUACACAGGCUUCCUGCCAACAUCUCCCGCUGGAGACUGCACGGCGCCUCCAGGGAAAUAUCACUUGCCCAGGCGGACCUCUGCGACUGAAAGCAGAGAAGGGAAAAGCAGAAGACGGAUCUGAGUGAAAACAGGCAAAUGACUGGCAUGAAGGGAAACCAAAAAGAUGACAAGUAUUAACAUAUUCAUAAAAGCCAAUGCGAGCAAAGA